rnacentral:tRNA from 1 species
UUUGAAAAUAAACUAAUUAAGUUGUCUGAUUCAUGCUCAGAAUAUAGAAUUAAUUUUCUUUUUCAUAU